CAGAGGGUAGUUUAACUUAGAAUCUUA
rnacentral:tRNA from 6 species